GUAGGAGCUGGCUUGCCAGCGAAGGCCAUCGGUCAUGCACCAUCAAUGUUGAAUGUGCAAACCUCUUCGCUGGCAAGCCAGCUCCUGC
rnacentral:antisense_RNA from 2 species